rnacentral:rRNA from 1 species
AUGAACGCUAGCUACAGGCUUAACACAUGCAAGUCGAGGGGCAGCAUGGUCUUAGCUUGCUAAGGCCGAUGGCGACCGGCGCACGGGUGAGUAACACGUAUCCAACCUGCCGUCUACUCUUGGACAGCCUUCUGAAAGGAAGAUUAAUACAAGAUGGCAUCAUGAGUCCGCAUGUUCACAUGAUUAAAGGUAUUCCGGUAGACGAUGGGGAUGCGUUCCAUUAGAUAGUAGGCGGGGUAACGGCCCACCUAGUCUUCGAUGGAUAGGGGUUCUGAGAGGAAGGUCCCCCACAUUGGAACUGAGACACGGUCCAAACUCCUACGGGAGGCAGCAGUGAGGAAUAUUGGUCAAUGGGCGAGAGCCUGAACCAGCCAAGUAGCGUGAAGGAUGACUGCCCUAUGGGUUGUAAACUUCUUUUAUAAAGGAAUAAAGUCGGGUAUGGAUACCCGUUUGCAUGUACUUUAUGAAUAAGGAUCGGCUAACUCCGUGCCAGCAGCCGCGGUAAUACGGAGGAUCCGAGCGUUAUCCGGAUUUAUUGGGUUUAAAGGGAGCGUAGAUGGAUGUUUAAGUCAGUUGUGAAAGUUUGCGGCUCAACCGUAAAAUUGCAGUUGAUACUGGAUAUCUUGAGUGCAGUUGAGGCAGGCGGAAUUCGUGGUGUAGCGGUGAAAUGCUUAGAUAUCACGAAGAACUCCGAUUGCGAAGGCAGCCUGCUAAGCUGCAACUGACAUUGAGGCUCGAAAGUGUGGGUAUCAAACAGGAUUAGAUACCCUGGUAGUCCACACGGUAAACGAUGAAUACUCGCUGUUUGCGAUAUACAGCAAGCGGCCAAGCGAAAGCGUUAAGUAUUCCACGUGGGGAGUACGCCGGCAACGGUGAAACUCAAAGGAAUUGACGGGGGCCCGCACAAGCGGAGGAACAUGUGGUUUAAUUCGAUGAUACGCGAGGAACCUUACCCGGGCUUAAAUUGCAGAUGAAUUACGGUGAAAGCCGUAAGCCGCAAGGCAUCUGUGAAGGUGCUGCAUGGUUGUCGUCAGCUCGUGCCGUGAGGUGUCGGCUUAAGUGCCAUAACGAGCGCAACCCUUGUUGUCAGUUACUAACAGGUUCCGCUGAGGACUCUGACAAGACUGCCAUCGUAAGAUGUGAGGAAGGUGGGGAUGACGUCAAAUCAGCACGGCCCUUACGUCCGGGGCUACACACGUGUUACAAUGGGGGGUACAGAGGGCCGCUACCACGCGAGUGGAUGCCAAUCCCCAAAACCUCUCUCAGUUCGGACUGGAGUCUGCAACCCGACUCCACGAAGCUGGAUUCGCUAGUAAUCGCGCAUCAGCCACGGCGCGGUGAAUACGUUCCCGGGCCUUGUACACACCGCCCGUCAAGCCAUGGGAGCCGGGGGUACCUGAAGUGCGUAACCGCGAGGAGCGCCCUAGGGUAAAACUGGUGACUGGGGCU